GACGAACGCUGGCGGCGUGCCUAAUACAUGCAAGUCGAACGCAGUGGGGACGGGUGAGUAACACGUGGGUAACCUCCCAUCAGAGGGGAUAACACUUGGAAACAGGUGCUAAACCGAUACUGAUGGAUGGACCCGCGGUGCAUUAGCUAGUUGGUGAGGUAACGGCUCACCAAGGCCACGAUGCGUAGCCGAACUGAGAGAGUGAUCGGCCACACUGGGACGGAGACACGGACCAGAGUCCUACGGGAGGGAGCAGUAGGGAAUGUUCGGCAAUGGACGAGAGUAUGGCAGAACAACGCGGCGUGAGUGAAGAAGGUUUUGGGAUCGUAAAAAUCUGUUGUUAGAGAAACGGUAUCUAAACAGAAAGCAACGGCUAACUACGUGCCAGCAGCCGCGGUAAUAC
rnacentral:rRNA from 1 species